GCUAACUCCGUGCCAGCAGCCGCGGUAAUACGGAGGAUCCAAGCGUUAUCCGGAUUUAUUGGGUUUAAAGGGUGCGUAGGCGGCCUAUUAAGUCAGGGGUGAAAGACGGUGGCUCAACCAUCGCAGUGCCCUUGAUACUGAUGGGCUUGAUUACACUUGAGGUAGGCGGAAUGUGACAAGUAGCGGUGAAAUGCAUAGAUAUGUCACAGAACACCAAUUGCGAAGGCAGCUUACUAAGGUGUCAAUGACGCUGAGGCACGAAAGCGUGGGGAUCAAACAGGAUUAGAUACCCUUGUAGUC
rnacentral:rRNA from 1 species